GAUGAACGCUGGCGGCGUGCUUAACACAUGCAAGUCGAACGAAGCACUUUAUUUGAUUUCCUUCGGGACUGAUUAUUUUGUGACUGAGUGGCGGACGGGUGAGUAACUCGUGGGUAACCUGCCUUGUACAGGGGGAAAACAGUUGGAAACGGCUGCUAAUACCGCAUAAGCGCACAGCAUCGCAUGAUGCAGUGUGAAAAACUCCGGUGGUAUAAGAUGGACCCGCGUUGGAUUAGCUAGUUGGUGAGGUAACGGCCCACCAAGGCGACGAUCCAUAGCCGACCUGAGAGGGUGACCGGCCACAUUGGGACUGAGACACGGCCCAAACUCCUACGGGAGGCAGCAGUGGGGAAUAUUGCACAAUGGGCGAAAGCCUGAUGCAGCGACGCCGCGUGAGCGAAGAAGUAUUUCGGUAUGUAAAGCUCUAUCAGCAGGGAAGAUAAUGACGGUACCUGACUAAGAAGCACCGGCUAAAUACGUG
rnacentral:rRNA from 1 species